UAUUGGCCCAACGUUGGCCCAGCUUAAUAAAUGUUGACAAUAUAAUGAUGCAUUGCUCUGUGUUGGGCGUGCUUGACUGAACUGGAGUUGGUCCAAUACUAGGAAUACUGGGAUUACUAGUGCAAGUACAAGUAGCCUGUAAUGUUUGAGAUGAAAUGCUGGUCCAACGUUGGCCCAAUGUUGCGAAAAGUAUUCAUCAAUUUAGAUUUAUCUAUUGUAAAUCGAUGGUAAUGUAAUAAGCAACUAAUUAUAAACAUGUGAUCUAUAUUAUAUAUUGAAUGGAAAUUAUGAGACAAUCCUUAUAAGUCUGUGAAAUACAUAUAGUAAUUUUAUAUCUUGGUAGAUUCUAUAUUAAGCAUCAUUGAAUCAAAUUUAAAGUGCUGUGUUUUGCAAGUUUUGGGCUCCAAAAUAAAUAGGUCACUGGUGAAAUUCACUGGCUCGGCAGGUGACUCAUAGGUCUCCAAGGAAACCGUCAUCUUUAAAUCAGUUUUUUUUAACCGCGCACUUUAACAAUUCAAAGCGUAUGUGUCUGUUUAAGUGAAAGCAAGAAUUUUAAUCCUUUCAAUGAAUUGGCGGGCUUGAACAGAGCAGAUAUGUCCGGAUCUGUAAGUGAACGCAAGAAUGUUAACCAGUGAAAUGAAUUGCUGGGAUGGAAAAACCCUCUUCACUCUGAGACUAUUGAUGUGGCAUUUCUGUAUAUGGAAGGGACUGAUUUAUAUGUGUGGGAAACAUGGAUUCUAAGAACAGAUAAACAACAGAAAAAGUGAUAAGUGAUGCAAAUAUGACCUUUCAAAACUCUACAGUUAGAACUUGAAGAUUCUUAUAUCAAAGUGAUAUUUAGUAGUGGACAUAGUGAUGUGGAGUGUACUUGAGAAACAUUGAACUUUCUACCUCUUCCUUCUUUUAGUUACAUUCCAUGGAAUACUUUAAUGAAAGUGAAAGUGGCAAAGAAUAUAUUGUGAUACAUUUUAGGAGGAAAAAAGUAUUUGACCAAACAUGGUGAAAUUAAUUGUGUCGUAUAAUUUGGGAAAUAAAAAUUACAGAAUUUAAAUAAUUUUGUAAGACAUUUGUAUUGAGGAAUAAUUGUGUCAUUGAUAUUUCAAGAAACAGCUUUGUAUCAACGUUGAACCAACGUAAUAACUAUAUUUUGAACUGAGGUCCAAUGUAGGGCCGACGUUACAAAAUAUUUGGUUGGCAUCGGUACAUUGGAAUAACGUUGGACCAACGUUGGCAUUUCAACAAAAGCGUUGUACCAACGUUGGACCAACGUCGGACCAACGUCAUGAUUAUAUUUUGAACUGAGGUCCAACGUUGGGCCAACGUUAAAAAAAUAUUGCGUUGGCGUUGGUAUGUUGGAAUAACGUUGUACCAAUGUUGACAAAUGAACAAACAGUAUUGUACCAACAUUGGCCCAACAUGUUGGGCCAACGGCGCGCCAAUGAGCAGUAAGACAUUGGGCCAACGUAAAACUGCCAACAUUGGCCCAACAUAACCGACAUUGUUGGGCCAACGUUGGGCCAAUGUCCUCAUGCUAUC